AACGAACGCUGGCGGCAGGCUUAACACAUGCAAGUCGAGCGCAUCCUUCGGGGUGAGCGGCGGACGGGUGAGUAACGCGUGGGAACGUGCCCUCUUCUACGGAAUAGCCUCGGGAAACUGAGAGUAAUGCCGUAUACGCCCGCAAGGGGAAAGAUUUAUCGGAGGAGGAUCGGCCCGCGUUGGAUUAGGUAGUUGGUGGGGUAACGGCCUACCAAGCCGACGAUCCAUAGCUGGUUUGAGAGGAUGAUCAGCCACACUGGGACUGAGACACGGCCCAGACUCCUACGGGAGGCAGCAGUGGGGAAUCUUGGAAAAUGGGGGCAACCCUGAUCCAGCCAUGCCGCGUGAUCGAUGAAGGCCUUAGGGUUGUAAAGAUCUUUCAGCUGGGAAGAUAAUGACGGUACCAGCAGAAGAAGCCCCGGCUAACUCCGUG
rnacentral:rRNA from 1 species